GAUUCGUCUAAAAAAGAAAAGCUAACUCUUUGAACUACCUUCUUCGGGGAAAUAACUCCCUUGCAAUCCCUCCUACACAGGUCACACAACUUACAGUGGAUUCUAUGAAAGGACAAGGAGGUAUUCAAAUGCUACUAAUUGCAGAAUAGGAAGCCCAACAGAUUGUAGCUGCUGCUAGAAACUUGAAAUUAACAAGAUUGAAGCAAGCUAAAGACGAAGCAGAGAAGGAAGUGUCAAACUAUCGUUCACAUUUGGAUGCCGAAUUCAAAAAUAAAAUCGCCGAGUUUGUAUAUGCAAACGUCAUAUGCAUACACCCAAUUUAUAAUCAGAUGUGCAUCACUCUUCCAGGUUCCUAUCCCACCCUUCAGGUAUUCACAUCGCCACAAUUUGAAAUUAAAACGU